UUUGACUAUUUUACUUUUUAAAUGGGUCUGUUACAAUUUUAUUUUAGUUUAAUUCUCUUUAGUUUAUUUAGUUUAGUUUAGUUUAGUUUAGUUUUUAUGAAGCAUCUCUUUUGUUCCAGGUACCAUGAAAAGACACAGCCAUUAACAUAUGUGUUCAACUAAACACAGAGCAUUGACUUGAAACAGUACAUGAUCAGAAUGAAGACAAUACUAUAAGGAACUACAGGGAGAAACUAAUAUUGUCAGGGUGGAGAGGAUAAUGGAGAAAACAAAGAAGGAGGCAUUAUACCUAGGACUCCAGGGAGAGAAGGAAACAGGCAAAGAAGCACAUGAACAUGAAAGUUCUGGUGUGUUGACACACGGGAAUUGGUGCCUACCAUGGCUGGGGAUACACAGUGAUGGAUUUGUGACUUGCUCCUCAGAAAGCUGGCCCAAGGGUGUGCAGCAUAUGAAUGUGGGGGAGUUUACACUACACACGCUCUUGGCUGUAAGU
rnacentral:lncRNA from 1 species